AUAUUCAAGAAAUAACAAAUUAGGAAGAGCUGAGGAACUCAGGACAAUGAGCACAAUCUUCCACUCUUCCUCAUUUUAUCAUCAAAAUGACUCCUCCUAAGAUACUUUAAACAAAGAGAGAUAAGUAUUGCUGUCACCUAUGUCACCUAACAAGAACACUCUGUUGUCUCAACAUUUCAUUUAGUGGAAUCAAAUUUGAAGAACAAAUAAAGAUAUGACAUGAAUGCUAAAAGGCAGUGAAGAAAGAACAGCAAGACUAUUGCAUCUUUUCAGCUUUGGAUUCAGACACUAAAUGACAAGUGUUCUGCUCUGAAUAUUUAUUUCUGUAACUUAAAGCAACAGAAUGUAAAAGAAGUAUGUCUGAUUCAGUGAUCAUGUAUAUGCUUCCCAAAAUGUAUACACUGCAUUGAAUAUGAUAUUGUUGUUAGUUAAUGUUGCUAUUUAAUGACUUAAUCCAAUUGCAAAUGAAAUACAGUUGUUUUUUUACAAUCCAGCUAUCAGGAUCUUAAUCUUGGCCAGCGAAGAAUUAACAAUCCAUUAUAUGAAAUAAGAAAUGAACUGGGAGUUUCUCAACAGAACACAGAAUCAUCCAUGAACUAUUGAUAUAAGUCAAAUGAAACAAAAAGAACAACAUGAAAAUUGUAAUAAACAUACUUCAUUUGGUCUUAUAUUAUGUUUCACUCCAUUCUACAAAAUGCUGGAUCUUGAAUAACUUCUUGUAGAUCAAUACAAA